AUGCUGCCAUUGGUCUCAACACCUCUACGGGUUUCCCACUGUUUUGUGGCAUUUGCUAAGGAGCUCCGUUGAACUAAAGAAGCUAACGUUAGCUAGAAAACAACACACUAGACUAGGAUAAAGACUUGGAGCCAAAAUGGCAUCAGACUCCCCGCGCAGACCAAGCCGCUGUGCUGGAGGGGUUGUGGUACGAGCACAAGCUGCCACUGAGCAGUCGUAUAUGGAGAGUGUUGUGACCUUCCUCCAAGAUGUGGUCCCUCAGGCAUACACAGGUGCACCCCCAACUGAUGAAAAAGAGAAAAUAGUUUGGGUCAGAUUUGAGAAAGCUGACCUCAAUGAUACGUCCCGCUCCCCAGAGUUCCUGGAGAUGCACAGUGGCAGCAGUGACCCUCCUCUCUGCCUCAUGAUUGGUUACGCCGACGGGAUGCAAAUCUGGAGCAUAUCCCUGGGUGGGGAGGCCCAGGAGCUUUUCUCUGUGCGCCACGGACCUGUGAGAGCUGCCCACAUCCUGCCGGCGCCCCAUAUCAGUCCGCUGAUGAUUGAUGGUUUUGUGGACAAGAGGCCUCUCCUGGGGGUGUGCAAGAGCACUGGGUCCUUGGGGACGAGCCCUCCAUACUGCUGUGUGGACCUGUACUCACUGAGGACAGGGGAGAUGGUCAAGUCCAUCCAGUUCAAGACGCCCAUCUACGACCUGCACUGCAACAAGGAGAUUCUAGUUGUCGCCCUGCAGGAGAAGAUUGCUGCAUUCGACAGCUGUACCUUCACCAAAAAGUUCUUUGUUACAAGCUGCUUUCCCUGUCUGGGCCCCAACCUAAACCCCAUAGCACUGGGAGGACGCUGGCUAGCCUACGCUGAGAACAAGUUAAUCCGGUGUCACCAGUCUCGAGGCGGUGCCUGCGGGGACAAUGCCCAGUCUUACACAGCUACAGUCAUCAGCGCUGCUAAAACCCUAAAGACUGGUCUCACCAUGGUGGGGAAGGUGGUGACCCAGCUAGCUGGUACUCUACCCACUGGCGUCCCCGACGAGGAGGGUGCUACCCCCCACAGCACCACCCGCCGAAGCCCCCAUGCCCCCGGAGUAAUCACCGUCAUUGACACACACAACGUCGGAGAGGGACAGGUCCUGGUGAGUGAGGACUCAGAUGGAGAGGGAGUGGUGGCCCACUUCCCAGCCCAUGACAAACCCAUAUCCUGCAUGGCAUUCAACCCCAGCGGUAUGCUGCUGGUGACUGCAGACACCCUGGGCCAUGACUUCCAUGUGUUCCAUGUCCUCACACACCCCUGGGCCUCCAACCAGUCUGCUGUCCACCACCUCUACACACUGCACCGCGGAGAGACUGAGGCCAAGGUCCAGGACAUCUGUUUCAGCCAGGACAGUCGCUGGGUGGUGAUCAGCACACUGCGUGGCACCUCCCACGUCUUUCCCAUCAACCCCUAUGGUGGCGCGCCCUGCGCCCGCACACACAUGUCCCCCCGCGUGGUCAACCGCAUGUCCCGCUUCCAGAAGAGUGCAGGGCUGGAGGAGAUAGAGAAUGAACUGAACAGCAAGCAGGCUGGAGGAGGGAGAUGCAGCCCCAUCCCCGGGCUCUCCAGCAGCCCCUCGGGGUCCCCACUACACGCUAAACUCACCAGCCAGGAGUCUUACAACAACUUCACCAACAACAACAUGGGUAACCCUCGUCUGUCCCCUCUGCCCAGCCUCACCAUAGUGCUGCCCCUGGCACAGAUCAAACAGCCCAUGACCCUGGGCACCAUGACCAAGCGCUCCGGACCUUACCUCUUUGGGGCUGGAUGUUUUGCCAUUAAAACUCCAUGCAAAGCCAAGCCUCCCCCCCAAAUCUCCCCCAGUAAGUCCAGUGGAGGAGAGUUCUGUGUGGCUGCUGUCUUUGCUGCCUCACGCUCCUGGUACAUGACCAACCCCAACAUGAAGAGAGAGAAAGACCAGUCCAGCCGGUCAGUGGUGGAGUCCCUCUACAUCCUCAGUUGCUAUGGCACCCUAGUGGAGCAUGUCCUGGAGCCUCGGCCAAUCAGCACAGCCCAGAAGAUCAGCGAUGACACACCCCUGGAGCUCAACACAUGUCCACGGGCCUGCUGGAGCCUGGCUAGGACUCCACUGUGGAAUGAGCUGCCGCCUCCCUUUCUCUCCAACCACCCUCUGGUGCUGGCCUCUGACCUGGUGCAACAUUACCAAUACCUCCUGGCUGGAUUUCCUCCUGUUCCUGUUCCUCCUGACAGCCGAGCAGCACCAACCCUAUCGCGCUCACACACCCAGUGGUGCCCCCUGGAAGCCCGGGUCCUGUCACGCGCCACGAGUCUUACGACAGCCUGACGUCAGACCACAGCGGACAGGAGGACGAGGAGUGGCUCUCACAGGUGGAGAUAGUCACCCACACAGGGCCUCACCGUCGGCUGUGGAUGGGUCCUCAGUUCCAGUUUAAGACCAUCCACCCAUCUGGUCAGACUACGGUCAUCUCCUCCUCCUCCUCCGUGCUGCAGUCCCAGGGCCCCAGCGACAUUCAACAGCCUCUGUUGGACUUCCACACUGAUGACCUGGACCUACACAGUCUCAGGAUCCAGCCGGUGCGUUCUGAGCCUGUCAGCAUGCCUGGUUCCUCUCGGCUGGUGGCUGAACGGAGGGGACAGGGGACGAUCAUUGAUACAGGAUCAGGGACGUUUGACCGCAGUGUGACCCUGCUGGAGGUGUGUGGCAGCUGGCCAGAGAGCUUUGGCCUGCGUCACAUGAGCUCUGUGGAGUCCACCGAGGAGGGUCUGAGAGAGAGGCUGGCAGACGCCAUGUCAGAGUCACCAUCCAGAGACAUAGUGGGCUCGGCUACCGAGCUCCAGAGGGAGGGCAGCAUUGAGACUCUCAGCAACAGCUCUGGUUCCACCAGCGGCUCCAUCCCCCGUAACUUUGAGGGCUACCGCUCUCCACUGCCCACCAACGAGAGCCAGCCCCUCAGCCUCUUCCCCUCCGGAUUCCCCUAGAGGAGACCUUGGGUCAAAUACUAUUUUAAGUCUUUCAAAUGCUUUGAGUGUUUGCUUUUGUCUGCCUGGGGUGCCUGAUGGGAUGGGACUACAUUUUACAACUAUUCUAUUGGUUCUAGACAAGCUCAAUAAAGCCCAGAUAAAGUAUUUGAACCCAGGUCUGCUACCUACCAUCCAUCCUACCUCUUCACACAGCACAGCCAGACAGUCCUGAUGUCUUCCGGUCUCUCGCCAUGUUGAUGUUCAUUAGGAUGUUAUUGUGAGCAGUGGUUCCCUUUUCAUGUUCCCUCCUCUCUCUUUCCAAAUCCAGGAACUGUCCAGUGUUACUCCCACCUACCGAUGUGUGUGUCUCUGUCUGUCUGUGUGUGUGUCUCUGUCUGUCUGUCUGUCUCUGUCUGUCUGUCUGUCUGUGUGUGUGUGUCUCUGUCUGUCCGUCUGUCUGUCUGUGUGCGUGCGUGUGUGUGUGUGUGUGUGGUGAUGUGUCACAUGGCGUGUGUUUCAUUUUGGGUGUGUGAAAUAGUUGAAGUUUGUUAUUUAGCUAGACAUGUUGUUAUGGAGUUAACUACGUGUCACUUUGACUUUUUCACAAGCAUGUAAAUGGUGAUGGACCUAAUGUAGCUGUAGUUUUUUACUUCUGAAGAUAACGACCUUGCUCAGCAUGCGCGCUGUAAUGUAUAUUAGCUUUGCUUAUUAAGACCAAAUCACUUCCAUGUAUGGUUUUCUCUUCAUUUGGUAACAUUGAUGGUUUUGGUGGGUAUCUUUUUAGUUUGUUGAGUCGAGUGUCUUCUGAUGAUUUCAUCUUGCUUUGAUUAGGAUUUUCUUUUUCUUUUUUUGCAACAAAAAACAGGUUUGUGCUUUAACAAAAGAAAUGGCUUAUUCCUUACUUGCGUGCACACACACCUCAAACACACCCCAAAUGGUGAAUAACUACUUUGCCAGCUUGCUUUUCUUUGCUAGACUUGACCAGACCACAUAGGACUUGAAAUGAAGUGUGAUCUGAUGCACUAGUGAGAACAGAAAGAUAGACUCACCUUUGAGACUUAAAACAGGUUAUAAAUAUUUGGUCACUGAUUUUGUAUUUAGUGUUUGUCAACAUUUUAAUUUAUAACACGAUACAAUCCUAGUCCUUUGUCUGGGGAAUGGAUGUCUGGUUGACUACACGGGUCUGUUCAGAAAAAUGCUACGUUACAGGACUUUCAGGUAGAAAUACAUUUUAUAGAACACCCUACUGAACACAGCCAUGUUCCCGUAAUUCUGCAUGUUGAAUAAGUCGAUGGCUACUGCUGCUUGGUCACUGGACAAUGUAACAUAAAAGAGGCAUGAUGAAUGUAUUCCUUUUAAUACAGAACACAUGCUUAUUAAUACAUUUUUACUAAUAUUGGUUUUGUAAAAUACCAAAUCGUUAUUUGCUAUACAUUCAUGUUAAUGAAAUGUAUUGAUGUGUUAUUAUCACCCCUGGAUACUCAAUGAUUUCAUAUAUGCUUUAAUAAAUAUUACACCUGCAGAGUCAUUGUUUCAAUCACGUGAACAAAAGUUAUCAGCAAGUGCUUUUGUAAAUGUAGUGACUUCUCGUUUAAUUUAAUGAAAAUAAAUAAACCACACCAAAGCCAGUGCACAUUUUCUGCCAGUUUAUUGUGGAAAAGCAGACCGUGAAUACAACACUCUAAAACGUAUCACUCAGAUCAAGAGUCAAAUGAACUUCAAAAUGUUAAAAAAUCAGUACAAGACUAAUUGAUGUAGGGCUUGUAUUGUAUUGGCUGAAUUUCUUUAAAUCGACAAUUAUGUGAACUGUCUUGUGCAACUGUCUUAUUUAAAUGCAAUUCACUUACCUUAGACGGGACCAAAACUGGAGCUGAGACUGAAACAAUGGCCAUGUGAAUGUGUUUGAGCAGGCAUACUCAGGCAUGCUCUGCUCUCUUCUUCAGGUUGUUUUCUCCAUACAAAAAGAAUCAAUAGAACAGGCUUGGAACCCCUAACCCUGCCAUUUUGACCUGAUUUUACUGGUCCACCGAUAGAGUAGCCCAUUAUGGGUGUGUUCAUAAAUUCACUCUGGCUAUCUAUUACAAUUUCAGAGCACUCUUGUCUGAGUGUGCCAGAACGCAGAUAACUGCUGAAUUUACAAACGCUCAGCACCCGUUGAAUAUGGCUGAUGCCAGUAAACGUCGGCAAAAAAGCGUAAUUAAAUAUUUGCCAGCAGCACAGUAACAGUCACCAACGCUCUGGAUAACAUGAAAACAGCCUAAUCAACUUUGCUAGAGGGAGUAAAAUGGUCAGCGUGAGGUGUUCUCUCAUUUGUUUUCUGGAAGUAGCUAGCCAAUGUUGGCCAGUUAGCUUGGGUGCUUGACUGCCAUUGUGAGGUCAGAAUGCUCAGAUCAACCCUACUCCUCGGCUAGAGCGUCCAGUGUACGCUCUGAACGGCCAGAGGGCUCUCUGAGCACACUCAGGCACACCAGAGUGAAUUUACAAACACACCCUAUGAGUCAUAAUACCCAUUAAACCUAGCCUAAUUUUAGAAACACUUAAGAUAAGGGUUGUGUUUCAUGUGGGCUUACCCUGGGGUGACGUUUUAAUAACCAUGUAAAUCUCUAGGAGAUAUUAAUAUAUUCACCUUUAUUUACCCCCCAACAAUGAAAUGCUAAUUAGCUGCUAAUAUGGCUAUCCUGAAGAACUACAAAUGCCAUGAUGAUCUGGGCGAGACUGACGAAUCGAGGCAAAGGUAAGAGUGCUAAUUAGCACUUUCGAUUCUGAGAGUAAAUAGAGCGGAAUAUAUUGAUAAAAGUCACCUUGUCCGAGAGAGAUUAACACGGUUAUCAAAACAUCAUGCCAGGGUAAACCUACACAAAACACAGCCCUUAUUUUAAGUGUUUCUAAAAUCCCCUAUGGGAAAAAUGAAUGGUGGAAAAAUGAUUAGAACCAUUUCCCUGUUUGACCACUAGGUUUUAUGAGAGUCAUGACACCUCCACUGUGAGGCUCUAUUAUGGCAUAAUAGACUUGAAUGGGGAUGCCUGUUCUUUCCGUUAUAUUUCUAUGGUUUGCCCACUGACACGCCCCUGGUGCUGUGACAUGGUGCCUUGCAAUGUCUCUCUGAGUCUGAGGGGACCAUGCCCAGGCCAGUGCCCCAGCUGGCACCUCUACCAGGGGCAGGGGCCUGAUAAGGAGGGCACACCUUAACUAAUCAUUUCACAUCUGAAAAACUGUACCUGUGUUCUUAUUGAUCAAGUACAAAUCGUACCUCCCUGUUUCAAAACGUUGUUUGCCUCCUUAACAGGCCCCUGGUCGUUACCCUCCUCUCCUGUGACAGUCUCCAUUAAUACCCAUCCUCCUCUGCCAGCAAACUCUGAAUAGGAGCAGAGAGAGGAGAGAGAGAAGGUUGGCACCAGGAGAGAAGCAUCAUUAAUACAUAGCUAGCUACAACCACUUAUGGACAGGUUUGCUAAGCUUUUGCUAACAUUGUUUUGCUCAAAAAAACACAACAUCCACUGUAGAAAAAUUUAAUAAAAUGAUCUCUAUCCAAACGUGUAUAUUUCUUUAACUUUGUGUAUUUUAUUAGUGUACUUAUCUGUCUUGAAAUGUGAUGAAAAUUGUUAUUCACUUACAUUCAAUAAUUUCUCAACAGACUAAUAGCAUUAUAUUGUGUGUACAAUAUCAGAUCUUAUAUAUUUUGAUUGCAUUUAAUUGUUGUCAUCCUCAACUAAAUAGAGUAUAAAACUGUUACAUUGUUAGCAAAUAAAGGCAAGUAAAAUUCCCUA